rnacentral:rRNA from 1 species
GGAAUAUUGCGCAAUGGGCGAAAGCCUGACGCAGCAACGCCGCGUGAGUGAAGAAGGCCUUCGGGUUGUAAAGCUCUGUCUUCUGGGACGAUAAUGACGGUACCAGAGGAGGAAGCCACGGCUAACUACGUGCCAGCAGCCGCGGUAAUACGUAGGUGGCAAGCGUUGUCCGGAUUUACUGGGCGUAAAGGAUGCGUAGGCGGAUAUUUAAGUCAGAUGUGAAAUACCCGAGCUUAACUUGGGUGCUGCAUUUGAAACUGGAUGUCUAGAGUGCAGGAGAGGAAAGUGGAAUUCCUAGUGUAGCGGUGAAAUGCGUAGAGAUUAGGAAGAACACCAGUGGCGAAGGCGACUUUCUGGACUGUAACUGACGCUGAGGCAUGAAAGCGUGGGGAGCAAA